GGCGCGGCCUCAGUCCCUCACCCAGUCACUCUCGUCUCCCUCCCUCCCUCCCUCAUAAUUUCCAUUUUCCUUCGGCUUCAGGCUUCAAAAAACCCUAGCCUCCACAGGACCACUCUCUCUCUCUCUCUCUCUCUCUCCCUGCGAGUCUCGAUCUCACCCUGCGCAAGUCCCCCCCGACUCUCGUCUCUCUCUCGCCGAGUCGCCGCGCGACCUCACCCUGACCCAGUAACCACCCCCGCAGGCAGCGGUCGACACGGAACAAAUUACAACACAAUAUAAAUAGGCAAACAUUUCAGAUCUAAUUUUGUAAUCAUUUCUGCACUCGGAGCUCACGCAUUGCUCCUGUUCCCUCGAGUCCCUCCUUCUAGCAUCUCAUCCCAAAAGGAAACGGUGCAUCUUGAAGGGUAUCUAAACCUAAAAGUUACAGAGAGAGAGAGAAAGAGGGGCAGAGGAACGGAGAUGAAGCAAGUGGUAGGGAUGGUAGUAUCGAACAAGAUGCAGAAGUCGGUGGUCGUGGCGGUGGAUAGGUUGUUCCAUAGCAAUCUCUACAACCGCUUUGUCAAGCGCACCUCCAAGUUCAUGGCACAUGACGAGCUCAACCAAUGCAACAUCGGAGACCGUGUCCGAUUGGAUCCAUCAAGGCCACUUAGCAAACGUAAGCGUUGGGUUGUUGCUGAAAUCCUCAAGAAAGCCAGAAUUUACGAACCACCCUCCUCUGAUACUCAAUCACCACCACCAUCCUUGCCUAUUUCAACACCCCCCUCCUAAGGUGAUGUUUUAUACAGGACACCUGAAAAGCUGAGAAUAUUGAGUUCUAGAGGACAGCCGGUUCCAAGAGCUGCUCAGUAGCAUCUGCACAAUCCUUGAUGAAAAGUCGAGAUUUCUAUUUUUUUUUUUUUAAUUAUUAUCUGUACCUUUUGAACGGUAUAGACUGAACAGCUAUUGAGAGGGACUUAUAGCAUAAUUUUCUAUUCAGUUCUCUUGACAAUAUCUUUAAUUUCACUUCUGUUCAAAACUA